rnacentral:rRNA from 1 species
AGUGAACGCUGGCGGUAGGCCUAACACAUGCAAGUCGAACGGCAGCACAGUAAGAGCUUGCUCUUACGGGUGGCGAGUGGCGGACGGGUGAGGAAUACAUCGGAAUCUACUUUUUCGUGGGGGAUAACGUAGGGAAACUUACGCUAAUACCGCAUACGACCUACGGGUGAAAGCAGGGGAUCUUCGGACCUUGCGCGAUUGAAUGAGCCGAUGUCGGAUUAGCUAGUUGGCGGGGUAAAGGCCCACCAAGGCGACGAUCCGUAGCUGGUCUGAGAGGAUGAUCAGCCACACUGAAACUGAGACACGGUCCAAACUCCAAGGGGAGGCAGCAGUGGGGAAUAUUGGACAAUGGGCGCAAGCCUGAUCCAGCCAGACCGCGUGGGUGAAGAAGGCCUUCGGGUUGUAAAGCCCUUUUGUUGGGAAAGAAAAGCAGCAGGUUAAUACCCCGCUGUUCUGACGGUACCAAAAGAAUAAGCACCGGCUAACUUCGU